rnacentral:lncRNA from 1 species
UUUUUUCUUGAAUUUCCCCUCCAUUUUCAAUCUCUUCAAUUCAGCCAUGGAAACCAUUCUCUCUUCUCCUUCAAUCUCUCCAUUUCUCAACCCAAAACCUUCUUCUUCGAAGACCCUUUUCUCACCUUCUCUACAUGCGCAGCAGCAAAGACAAAGUUCUCUUUUUUGCACCAAAAACAUCACUUGUAGCCUCAAAAAACACAACCCUCAGUUACUAAAUCCAUCUUUACAGGUACCCAGAAGCUGGUUUGCUCAUGCAC